rnacentral:rRNA from 1 species
GAUGAACGCUGGCGGCGUGCUUAACACAUGCAAGUCGAACGAGAAGUGAAGACGGAAACCUUCGGGCGGAAGGCUUUAUUUCGAGUGGCGGACGGGUGAGUAACGCGUGGGUAACCUGCCUCAUACAGGGGGAUAACAGUUGGAAACGACUGUUAAUACCGCAUAAGACCACAGCACCGCAUGGUGCGGGGGUAAAAACUCCGGUGGUAUGAGAUGGACCCGCGUUCGAUUAGCCAGUUGGCGGGGUAACGGCCCACCAAAGCGACGAUCGAUAGCCGAUCGGAGAGGAUGCCCGGCCACAUGGGGACUGAGACACGGCCCAAACUCCCAGGGGAGGAGGCGGGGGGGAAUAUUGCACAAUGGGGAAAACCCUGAGGCAGCGACGCCGCGGGAGUAAAGAAGUUUUUGGGUAUGAAAAGCUCUAUAAGAAGGAAAGAAAAGGCCGUUCCCUGAGAAAAAAGCCCGGGCUAACUCCGUC